rnacentral:rRNA from 1 species
GAGGAAUAUUGGGCAAUGGGCGCAAGCCUGACCCAGCCAUGCCGCGUGAAGGAUGAAUGCCCUAUGGGUUGUAAACUUCUUUUUUACGGGAAGAAACUCCUGAACGUGUUCGGGAUUGACGGUACCGUAUGAAUAAGCAUCGGCUAACUCCGUGCCAGCAGCCGCGGUAAUACGGAGGAUGCAAGCGUUAUCCGGAUUUAUUGGGUUUAAAGGGUGCGUAGGCGGGAUAAUAAGUCAGUGGUGAAAGCCUGUAGCUUAACUAUAGAAAUGCCAUUGAUACUGUUGUCCUUGAGUACAGUUGAGGUAGGCGGAAUGUGUAAUGUAGCGGUGAAAUGCUUAGAUAUUACACAGAACACCGAUUGCGAAGGCAGCUUACUAAGCUGGUACUGACGCUGAGGCACGAAAGCGUGGGGAGCAAAC